rnacentral:rRNA from 1 species
UACGUAGGGGGCGAGCGUUAUCCGGAUUUACUGGGCGUAAAGCGCGCUAAGGCGGCUCGUUGAGUUGCGGGUGAAAGUUCGGGGCUCAACCCCGAAAUUGCCUGCAAUACUGACGAGCUGGAGUGCGGGAGAGGAAGGUGGAAUUCCCGGUGUAGUAGUGAAAUGCGUAGAUAUCGGGAGGAACACCAGUGGCGAAGGCGGCCUUCUGGCCCGCAACUGACGCUGUAGCGCGAAAGCGUGGGGAG